rnacentral:rRNA from 1 species
CAGUAGCCGCGGUAAUACGGAGGGUGCGAGCGUUAAUCGGAAUAACUGGGCGUAAAGGGCACGCAGGCGGUGACUUAAGUGAGGUGUGAAAGCCCCGGGCUUAACCUGGGAAUUGCAUUUCAUACUGGGUCGCUAGAGUACUUUAGGGAGGGGUAGAAUUCCACGUGUAGCGGUGAAAUGCGUAGAGAUGUGGAGGAAUACCGAAGGCGAAGGCAGCCCCUUGGGAAUGUACUGACGCUCAUGUGCGAAAGCGUGGGGAGCAAACAGGAUUAGAUACCCCGGUAGUCCCUGUCUCUUAUAC